rnacentral:rRNA from 1 species
GACGAACGCUGGCGGCGUGCUUAACACAUGCAAGUCGAACGGAAAGGCCCUGCUUUUGUGGGGUGCUCGAGUGGCGAACGGGUGAGUAACACGUGAGUAACCUGCCCUUGACUUUGGGAUAACUUCAGGAAACUGGGGCUAAUACCGGAUAGGAGCUCCUGCUGCAUGGUGGGGGUUGGAAAGUUUCGGCGGUUGGGGAUGGACUCGCGGCUUAUCAGCUUGUUGGUGGGGUAGUGGCUUACCAAGGCUUUGACGGGUAGCCGGCCUGAGAGGGUGACCGGCCACAUUGGGACUGAGAUACGGCCCAGACUCCUACGGGAGGCAGCAGUGGGGAAUAUUGCACAAUGGGCGGAAGCCUGAUGCAGCAACGCCGCGUGCGGGAUGACGGCCUUCGGGUUGUAAACUGCUUUCGCCUGUGACGAAGCGUGAGUGACGGUAAUGGGUAAAGAAGCACCGGCUAACUACGUGCCAUCAGCCGCGGUGAUACGUAGGGUGCGAGCGUUGUCCGGAUUUAUUGGGCGUAAAGGGCUCGUAGGUGGUUGAUCGCGUCGGAAGUGUAAUCUUGGGGCUUAACCCUGAGCGUGCUUUCGAUACGGGUUGACUUGAGGAAGGUAGGGGAGAAUGGAAUUCCUGGUGGAGCGGUGGAAUGCGCAGAUAUCAGGAGGAACACCAGUGGCGAAGGCGGUUCUCUGGGCCUUUCCUGACGCUGAGGAGCGAAAGCGUGGGGAGCGAACAGGCUUAGAUACCCUGGUAGUCCACGCUGUAAACGGUGGGUACUAGGUGUGGGGUCCAUUCCACGGGUUCCGUGCCGUAGCUAACGCUUUAAGUACCCCGCCUGGGGAGUACGGCCGCAAGGCUAAAACUCAAAGGAAUUGACGGGGCCCCGCACAAGCGGCGGAGCAUGCGGAUUAAUUCGAUGCAACGCGUAGAACCUUACCUGGGUUUGACAUGGAUCGGGAGCGCUCAGAGAUGGGUGUGCCUCUUUUGGGGUCGGUUCACAGGUGGUGCAUGGCUGUCGUCAGCUCGUGUCGUGAGAUGUUGGGUUAAGUCCCGCAACGAGCGCAACCCUUGUUCACUGUUGCCAGCACGUUAUGGUGGGGACUCAGUGGAGACCGCCGGGGUCAACUCGGAGGAAGGUGGGGAUGACGUCAAGUCAUCAUGCCCCUUAUGUCCAGGGCUUCACGCAUGCUACAAUGGCUGGUACAGAGAGUGGCGAGCCUGUGAGGGUGAGCGAAUCUCGGAAAGCCGGUCUCAGUUCGGAUUGGGGUCUGCAACUCGACCUCAUGAAGUCGGAGUCGCUAGUAAUCGCAGAUCAGCAACGCUGCGGUGAAUACGUUCCCGGG